rnacentral:tRNA from 1 species
GGUUCAAUGGUGUAGUGAAUAUCACGAGCACCUCACAUACGCGGAAGGCCCCCGGUUCGAUCCCGGGUUGACCUA